GGCAGCAGGCGCGGGGAGAGGCGCCCGGUGGCGGCCCGGGCUGAGGACGGAGGGUGACGGGUUCGAGCCCCGCCGCUGGCGGACCGCCCACCCGCCCGAGGCCGGCAUCCUGCGGGGCUCUGCCAGGCCAGGGAUUCACUGAAAACCCAAAAGCUCCUGAUAAUGCAGAGCUGCUCACAGGGUUUAGGCACUGAUGUGUCACAGAACCCAGCUUCAGAUCUAUAAGAGUUGCCUUUCAGAGAUGUUGAGAAUCAACAGAUUAUCAGGUGAUAGGUAUAUAGGCAGAGCCUAAAGCAAUCAUGC